rfam:Coxiella-like endosymbiont strain CRt, complete genome.
GAGGUCCCUCCUCGCGACAAAUUGCCGUAAACCCCGCCAGGCCCGGAAGGGAGCAACGGUAACCGGUGGAUUUGGGUGCCGGGUGUGGCUUUUGU